rnacentral:rRNA from 1 species
GACGAACGCUGGCGGCGUGCUUAACACAUGCAAGUCGAACGGAAAGGCCCUGCUUUUGUGGGGUGCUCGAGUGGCGAACGGGUGAGUAACACGUGAGUAACCUGCCCUUGACUUUGGGAUAACUUCAGGAAACUGGGGCUAAUACCGGAUAGGAGCUCCUGCUGCAUGGUGGGGGUUGGAAAGUUUCGGUGGUUGGGGAUGGACUCGCGGCUUAUCAGCUUGUUGGUGGGGUAGUUGCUUACCAAGGCUUUGACGGGUAGCCGACCUGAGAGGGUUACCGGCCACAUUGGGACUGAGAUAAGGCACAGACUCGAAAGGGAGGCAGCAGUGGAGAAUAUUGCACAAUGGGCGGAAGCCUGAUGCAGCAACGCCGCGUGCGGGAUGACGGCCUUCGGGUUGUAAACCGAUGUCGCCUGUGACGAAGAGUGAGUGACGGUAAUGGGUAAAGAAGCACCGGCUAACUACGUG